GUUAAGCGACUAAGCGUACACGGUGGAUGCCCUGGCAGUCAGAGGCGAUGAAGGGCGUGCUAAUCUGCGAUAAGCGCCGGUAAGGUGAUAUGAACCGUUAUAACCGGCGAUACCCGAAUGGGGAAACCCAGUGUGAUUCGUCACACUAUCAUUAACUGAAUCCAUAGGUUAAUGAGGCGAACCGGGGGAACUGAAACAUCUAAGUACCCCGAGGAAAAGAAAUCAACCGAGAUUCCCCCAGUAGCGGCGAGCGAACGGGGAGGAGCCCAGAGCCUGAAUCAGCAUGUGUGUUAGUGGAAGCGUCUGGAAAGGCGCGCGAUACAGGGUGACAGCCCCGUACACAAAAGCGCAUGUGCUGUGAGCUCGAUGAGUAGGGCGGGACACGUGGUAUCCUGUCUGAAUAUGGGGGGACCAUCCUCCAAGGCUAAAUACUCCUGACUGACCGAUAGUGAACCAGUACCGUGAGGGAAAGGCGAAAAGAACCCCGGCGAGGGGAGUGAAAAAGAACCUGAAACCGUGUACGUACAAGCAGUGGGAGCCCCACCACUAAGCCAGUGGUGAACUCCACAUCCGCAUCCUUUGCUGAGGAUACGGUUAACGGAGCGAAAGCGACGUUCAACCGCAAAACAAGCAGAGGGGGCUUAGUGGUGGGGUGACUGCGUACCUUUUGUAUAAUGGGUCAGCGACUUAUAUUCUGUAGCAAGGUUAACCG
rnacentral:rRNA from 1 species